CGGAUAUUGACCAAGUUGACCAAGUCACUUACAUUGACGGGCCUGCAGGAGUAUUUGAAACCCGCUAUUUCCUGUGAAACCUCGAAAUCUGAGCGUAAGAUUGGUUGGAGACAGGGUUAAAAGUUAAGACAACCAAAAGACAUAUACUCGGUACUCGCACGCACAAAUUAUCGUUCUCCCGGUUACAUUUGGCGGUCUGUAGGGGGUGUGCAAAGCUUACAACUACAAUACAACCUCUCGCCGCAACGACACGGUGAUGUUCGUAUUAAAAUUCAACCGGAAUCCAAUCGCUCCGACACGCCUAUAAAAACGCUAAACACUGAAUUCAUGUCAGAAAAGACGGCACGAAUCAAUAACACACACAGUACGGCGCAACAACAAAAGUUGAUAUUGCGUUCACUUGCUCCGAUGCUAUACGUGUUAA